AAGACAGAAAGUCCGUUGGAACCGUCGGCUGCUCUCUGGUCUCUGGAGAUGAGGCGGGAGGACUUGGGGACAGCUGUGGGGACACGGCCCAGAUGCUCUGGUCCCAGCAGAAGUGACUGGCGGGGACCAGGAUGCUGGAGGGUCAGCUCGAGGCCGGGUAGCCCAAGGAGGGCACCCACCCAGAAGACCCGUGCCCGGGAGCUGGGGCUGCCAUGGAGAAGACACCUGCAGCAGCCGAGGUCCCCAGGGAGGACAGCAAUGCCGGGGAGAUGCCGUCAUUACAGCAGCAGAUCACCAGCCUCCACCAAGAGCUCGGGAGACAGCAGUCGCUGUGGGCUGAUAUUCACAGAAAACUCCAGAGUCAUAUGGAUGCCUUGAGGAAGCAGAACCGGGAGCUCCGAGAAGAGCUGAGAGGCCUGCAGCGGCAGCAGUGGGAAGCCGGGAAGAAACCCGCAGCGUCCCCACACGCGGGGCGAGAAUCACACACUCUGGCAUUGGAACCUGCUUUUGGAAAAAUUUCACAUCUGUCAGCUGAUGAAGACACAACGCCCAAAUACGCUGGCCGCAAGAGUCAGAGUGCCACUCUCCUGGGACAAAGAUGGUCAUCUAACCACUUAGCUCCUCCAAAGCCAAUGAGUUUAAAGACAGAAAGAAUUAACUCGGGGAAAACACCACCACAGGAAGAUAGAGAGAAAAGUCCUCCCGGGAGACGUCAAGACAGAAGUCCAGCACCCACUGGAAGGCCGACUCCCGGUGCAGAAAGACGGGGGGUGUCUGAAGACGGAAAGAUUAUGCAUCCAUCUUCCCGAAGUCCGCAAAACUCCGGUGGCAGAAAAUCACCAGUGCAGGCUUCCCAGGCCACCACGCUGCAGGAGCAGACGGCAGCAGCCAGAGGAGCUGACAGAAGCUCAUCAGUCUUAGGGAGUUCUGAAGGCGGAUUUCUCAGCCGCGUUCAAGCUGACGAGUUCGCCAGUUCUGCCCCAGACAGUGCAGAGCGGCAGAAUCUUCCUGUAAACCCACCAUCUUCCCUGGAAAUAGCACAGGCCAUGGACACUAAGAUGAAAAAGGAGGAAGUACAGGAAGAAAAACGACAUCCAAAGGGCAAGGCAGAUGACUGCCGGCGGUCCGGUUUCCCGAGUGAAUUUCCAGGAGCUCUGCACGCCGCUCCCUCCAGACAGGACAUGGGGCCCUGACCUGGAGGCCAGGCGUUUCUAGCAUUGUUGACUGCCAGUUUAUUCCCAGUAAAUAAAGCAAUACGCUUUUCAGGAGGAA